rnacentral:rRNA from 1 species
AUUGAACGCUGGCGGCAGGCCUAACACAUGCAAGUCGAACGCAGUUGCGAACGGGUGAGUAACGCGUAGGUAACUGCCUCAUAGCGGGGGAUAACUAUUGGAAACGAUAGCUAAUACCGCAUACUUGGGGAUGGACCUGCGUUGUAUUAGCCAGUGGGUGAGGUAAAGGCUCACCAAGGCGAUGAUACAUAGCCGGCCUGAGAGGGUGAACGGGCAACCUGGGACUGGGACACGGCCCCGACGCCUACGGGGAGCAGCAGUAGGGGAACUUCGGAAAUGGACGGAAGUCCUGCCGAGCAAAGCCGCGUGAGUGAAGAAGGGUUUCGGAUCGUAAAGCUCUGUUGUUAGAGGAGCGGUAACUAACCAGAAAGGGACGGCUAACUACGUGCCAGCAGCCGCGGUAAUUC